GAUGAACGCUGGCGGCGUGCUUAACACAUGCAAGUCGAACGGAAAGGCUCCUGCUUGCAGGGGUACUCGAGUGGCGAACGGGUGAGUAACACGUGGGUGAUCUGCCCUGCACUUCGGGAUAAGCCUGGGAAACUGGGUCUAAUACCGGAUAGGACGAUAGUUUGGAUGCCAUUGUGGAAAGUUUUUCGGUGUGGGAUGAGCUCGCGGCCUAUCAGCUUGUUGGUGGGGUAAUGGCCUACCAAGGCGUCGACGGGUAGCCGGCCUGAGAGGGUGUACGGCCACAUUGGGACUGAGAUACGGCCCAGACUCCUACGGGAGGCAGCAGUGGGGAAUAUUGCACAAUGGGCGCAAGCCUGAUGCAGCGACGCCGCGUGGGGGAUGACGGCCUUCGGGUUGUAAACUCCUUUCGCUAGGGACGAAGCGCAAGUGACGGUACCUGGAGAAGAAGCACCGGCUAACUACGUG
rnacentral:rRNA from 1 species